rnacentral:rRNA from 1 species
AUGGAUCACACAGUUAAUGGGCUUCGGCCCAGAAGGAAGUCGAUUGACCCAAAUAAGGGCUACACGGAAGGCUCCGGCCAAAGCCAAAGCAGCUCUAUUUGCACAAGGCUCGGCCUUGCCUUCGGGAACAGUACGCGUUUCGUGUGCUCAGUCCUCCUGCGCUGCUGCUACAAGCACCACCAUCGCAGUUGCCAGCGCUCCCACCAGCGCGCGCACGGACCGAGACCGGCAAUGGCGAGCUCGGCGCCUCCCUUCCUCCUCCUCCUCCUCCUCCUCUUCGUCCUCGUCGCCGCCGCCGCGGCCUCGGAGGAGCGCCCGCGCGUCACCCCCACCUUCAUCCACUGCCACCCGGCGCAGGCAACCGCCAACGCCAGCAGCGCCAAGAACGCAACGGCGUUCCAAGCCAACGUGAUGCCCCUCCUCGCCAAGCUCCCCUCCGCCGCCGCGCCCAUGGGCUUCGCGUCCCUGGGGUCCGCCGGAGUGGUCGGACGCGACCGCGCGUUCGUCCGCGGGCUCUGCUUCGGGCACGCCACGCCGUCCCAGUGCCGCGAGUGCCUGGCCGCCGCGGCCAAGAAGCUCGCCGACGCCUGCGGCGCCCGCGGCCGGCGCGCCGGCGUCUGGACGGACGGUUGUUUCGCGUCUUACGCCGACGCGAACGACUCCUCGCCCUACUCCGACAGCUUCCGCGCGCGCAUCAUCUCCGGCGCCGCCGCGCUCACCACCAGCACCUCCUACGAGCUGCAGAGCCUCGCCGACCUGGCGUUGUUGGAAUAA